AAUGGCAUUUGAGUAAAGAACCAAGAAGUGAAGCACAGGAUUGUUGGCUGUUCGUGGAAGCUAUGUAUCUGUUGUGAAAAUUCCCAUCCAGCUUCAAGAAUCACACUCUCAAGCAGAAGGCGAUCUAAGAGAAAGCAAGAGGCACACUACUCCAGGUUGGUAAGUAGUCAAAAAUUUAUUCAGGGGAAACUUACAUAUGAGGCAGUCUUGGGUGCAGCAA
rnacentral:lncRNA from 1 species